rnacentral:rRNA from 1 species
AUUGAACGCUGGCGGCAGGCCUAACACAUGCAAGUCGAACGAGUUGCAGACGGGUGAGUAAUUUCGGUGAAACUGCCUGAUGGAGGGGGAUAACUACUGGAAACAGUACCUAUUACCGCAUACCAGCAAGGGUCCCCGGAUGGGAUUAGCUAGUUGGUGGGUUAACGGUUCACCAAGGCGAUGAUCCCUAGGUGGUCUGAGAGGAUGACCGACCAGCCUGGAACGGAGACACGGUCCAGACACCUAGGGGAGGCAGCAGUGGGGAAUAUUGCACAAUGGGGGAAAGCCUGAUGCAGCCAUGCCGCGUGUAUGAAGAAGGACUUAGGGUUGUAAAGUACUUUCAGCGGGGAGGCGUUACCCGCAGAAGAAGCACCGGCUAACUACGUGCCAGCAGCCGCGGUAAUUC